CAGUGGUUCCUUGCAUAGAAAGACUUAAAAUCUUGUCGGGGGUGGUAAAUCCAGAGGAUCUUCAGUUGAGUUCUACUGACAAGAGACUUCUUAAUGCUUACAAGGACAAACCAGUUCUGUCACGCCCUCAGCAUGAUUUUUUCAAGUCCUUGGAAACUUUGGUCUCGGCUCAAACAGAUUCAUUUCUGAUCGUUAUUCCUCAAAUCAUACAGUGUCUGAAUAUCACGUGUACGAGUUCUUUAGGGUUCAAAAUCACAAUGCUUUUGUGCUUUUCGGUGGUCUAAAUAUAGGGAUGUGGAACUGUUCUCGUGAGGAAGGUACAACGAGCUUUCUACGUUUUCUAUGACUUCAGUAACUUCGUACCAAGUAAAUAUUCAUAAACGCCGUGUAUUAGAGACUACAUGCUCUUACAAAGGUUAAAGCAACUACAUACUUUUACGUUUUAAUUUAACAGGUGUCUUCCGAUUGAAUCUUGUAGAGUUCCUGUUAUCAUCUUUGCAUUGGGUGAUAUGUGAGUUUGAGCAGCUUCAAAGAUCCACUUAUGAGUCCUGGUAGAAAUAUAAUAAGAGUAAUUGUUUGAAAAUUUGAACUCCAACACUCCUGAAGUAUCAUUUAAGCCGGUGAAGAAGUUGGAUAAGCUUCUUUGGAUGUGGAUAGUUGCUGCGAGUGUAGAGUUAAGGAGGGAGUAGAAUUGUACUGUAGAAAAUAAGAAUAGCAAGAGGAAAAGCUGAACUGUUUAGUUGUCCCUGGAUUGUUUAGAGGAUAAUCAGGAUUUAUCCCUGGACUGUUUAGUUCUAAGAAGAUUACAUUCAUAUUGUUUUUUUCUAUAUUAUACUCUCAGCUCCCCAAUGACGAGUU